UGUAUACGCUUUAGCUUUAUCAAUUAGUC
rnacentral:sRNA from 1 species